UACAUGUAGUUAUGAGUUGACUCCACCCUCUAGCAAUUCUAUCCACACAAGUGCUAAACUCCUUCACUCUAGUCUCCAAAAUAACUGUAAAACUAAUAUGAAAUCUCCUCAAAUAUCUCCCUAGUUCUCUUUCUUUAGAAGCCCUGUUCAUGCCUCUAACAUUCCAUACUAGACUUUUCAUAGAGAAAUAUGGCUUCUCUCCCCCUCUGGGGGUCGACCAGAUACAUCCAGGCCCAAAGCUCUCCAAUGUUAUAGCUUAAAGUAAAUUCUUGAAUCUCAAUCUCUCCCCAAGAGGAACUGGAAAAAGUUGAUGAGACCAUUACGCCUUUUGAAGAUGUUACUUAAUACUCUUAACCUAAAUUCAUUAGCAGAGUUGAUGGUCUUAUUGUGGUCAUUUCUACUUAAUAUAUACUUUGGAGCACCAUUGCUACGUACGUACUUUUCUCCUUGUAGCCUUUAAAAAGUAUUUACUCAAGUAGAAUUAUGAUAAGCUAGCAAUGAAAUGUGAUUAAGUGAUGACAUCG